AUACAGGCUUGAUAUACUGGUUUUCUAAAGUUAGCCAGCUUCAGUUAGCUUCACAUUCCAGCUCAGGCGUCAUCCAUCAGAAUAUACAGAGCGCUAGUCAUCAGGAAGCUGCUCUCUCAGCAGAACAGAAAAUAUCUCAAUGACUUGACAUGUUCUGGUUGUGAAUUCAGGCUACAAGGCUGGUAGAAUGAGUUGCCAGUGAAAGCUACUUCAUCUGCAAGAAAACAGACGGCUGCACCAGUGACUGUCAGAAGUUUUGUGAUUUCCUCAUAUGAACGUGAAAGGGACAGUGCUCUAAAAAUGAGUCUCUCUGGGGAGAGAGAGGAGGGGGGACCUGCCUCUAAAAUGAGUCUCUCUGGGGAGAAAGAGGAGGGGGUCCCUGUCUAUAAAAUGCAUCUCUCUG